GGAGUCAUGCCUGAGUGGCCGAUAGGGGCACCCUGCUAAGGUGUUAGUCGUUUUUUAGCGGCUCGAGGGUUCGAAUCCCUCUGACUCCGCCU
rnacentral:tRNA from 2 species